rnacentral:rRNA from 1 species
AGAGUUUGAUCAUGGCUCAGGAUAAACGCUGGCGGCGUGCCUAACACAUGCAAGUCGAACGCCCUGUGGCUUGCUUUUGGGAGCCAGAGGGAGUGGCGGACGGGUGAGUAACACAUGGGUGACCUACCCCGCAGUGAGGGAUACCGGCGCGAAAGCGCCGACAAGCCCGCAUAGGCUCUUUUUGGUAGAGCGGAGAGAGCAAAGUCGCAAGACGCUGGGGGAGGGGCCUGUGGCCGAUUAGCUAGUUGGUAAGGUAAGGGCUUACCAAGGCGACGAUCGGUAGCUGGUCUGAGAGGACGAACAGCCACACUGGGAUUGAGAACGGCCCAGACUCCUACGGGGGGCAGCAGUGAGGAAUUUUCCGCAAUGGGGGCAACCCUGACGGAGCAACGCCGCGUGCAGGAAGACGCGUUUCGGCGUGUAAACUGCUUUUCUGUGGGACGAGUGUGGACGGUACCACAGGAAGAAGCCCCGGCUAACUACGUGCCAGCAGCCGCGGUAAUACGUAGGGGGCGAGCGUUGUCCGGAGUUACUGGGCGUAAAGGGCAUGCAGGCGGUCGGACGCGUUUCGGGUGACAGCGGGUGG